GUGCGGAAGAGAGCGGAGCGAGGCUGACUCCCAGCUCUGACCCCAGCUGCUCUGGUGCUGAAAGCCUCGGCUCCCGUCCUGGCCCUCAUCUGCACUGACAGCUGCUUCUAGGUCCUGGAGCAUCCUCUCCCGUUCUCGUUCAGGCACCAUCUGCUUCCUUCCAUCUGCUUCCUUCAGAGACCCUGACCAAUGGCCCAGGCUCCUCUCUGGGUUCACAGCAUUCGCCAGCAUUAGAAGCACAUCCUUCAAGACUCCCCAUUUCCAAGAAUCCUCACCAGAUUGCCCUUAAAAUACACGUCUGGACUGACUUUCCGCACACCAUUUAGCCUGUGUCAUCCUCUCCCUCUCACUCCGGACAUCAAUCCAUCCCCAAUACUCUGCCCACCAGCCCAGGGCGGGUGCAAGCUCUCCCUAAACCCCCUCUGUGCUUCCCUCAACAGCUAGCACAAGUCGUAUGCUCUCAGAAGAAGUUUGAGAGACCAAUAAACAUUCCCUCCCUUGCUCACACCCAGAGAACAUCACUUCAGCACUUCUGCUUGAAACACCAACGGUUUUUCACACUGACCUUUUCUCAGUCCAUGACUCUCAAGAGGGGCUGGCCUGGGCAUGUGCCUGCCAUGGUCUCUCCCCCACAGUCCACCAGGGAAUGCAGAGCAACACAGAAGACUGAGCCUCAGCUCCUUUCCAUCCAAGACUGUCCACGCCGUCAGCCUGCAGCAGGAAUUUUCUGCACCAUGCCAGUCAGCGCCCAUUCUUGAGUCAACUACCCACGAGGCUGUCAAAGGACUUCCAAGGCAGUGUGACUAAUGGAA